rnacentral:rRNA from 1 species
AUUGAACGCUGGCGGCAGGCCUAACACAUGCAAGUCGAGCGGAUGAAGGGAGCUUGCUCCUGGAUUCAGCGACGGACGGGUGAGUAAUUCCUAGGAAUCUGCCUGGUAGUGGGGGAUAACGUCCGGAAACGGGCGCUAAUACCGCAUACGUCCUGAGGGAGAAAGUGGGGGAUCUUCGGACCUCACGCUAUCAGAUGAGCCUAGGUCGGAUUAGCUAGUUGGUGGGGUAAAGGCCUACCAAGGCGACGAUCCGUAACUGGUCUGAGAGGAUGAUCAGUCACACUGGAACUGAGACACGGUCCAGACUCCUACGGGAGGCAGCAGUGGGGAAUAUUGGACAAUGGGCGAAAGCCUGAUCCAGCCAUGCCGCGUGUGUGAAGAAGGUCUUCGGAUUGUAAAGCACUUUAAGUUGGGAGGAAGGGCAGUAAGUUAAUACCUUGCUGUUUUGACGUUACCAACAGAAUAAGCACCGGCUAACUUCGUG